GAGUACCGGGUGCCGAAGUGAAAACGUGAAACGUGCCGCCUGGGAAGUACGGUCGCAAGGCUGAAACUUAAAGGAAUGGCGGGGGAGCACCACAACGGGUGGAGCUGCGGUUUAAUUGGACUCAACGCCGGGCAGCUCACCGGAUAGGACAGCGGAAUGAUAGCCGGGCUGAAGACCUUGCUUGACCAGCUGAGAGGAGGUGCAUGGCCGUCGUCAGUUCGUACUGUGAAGCAUCCUGUUUAGUCAGGCAACGAGCGAGACCCACGCCAACAGUUGCUAGCAUGUUCUCCGGAAUGAUGAGGACACUGAUGGGACCGCCUCUGCUAGGGGGGGGGGGGGGGUGGGCAACGGUAGGUCAGCAUGCCCCGAAUUAUCCGGGCUACACGCGGGCUACAAUGGUCAGGGACAAUGGGAAACGGCACUGAAAAGUGUAGUCAAUCUCCUAAACCUGUCCCAAGUUCGGAUUGUGGGCUGCAACUCGCCCACAUGAAGCUGGAAUCCGUAGUAAUCGCGUUUCAAAAUAGCG
rnacentral:rRNA from 1 species